AUUUCCUCUUAGUAUUCUAUAUUCAGAUAGAAGAAUCUGUUCUUAUCAGCUUAAUAUCUGUGAUGUCCUGCAUAGCAGGACUGGAAUACUGAACUUAUUUUUGGCUCAACACGGAGUGCUAAGAGCGUGCUCUGCCUCUGUCACAGCUCGCGUCCUCACUUUCAAACUCCCUAGAGGUAAUAAAA